UAUAGCUUAGUGGCGGACGGGUGAGUAACGCGUGAGCAACCUGCCUUUCAGAGGGGGAUAACGUUUGGAAACGAACGCUAAUACCGCAUAAGACCACACUUCCACAUGGGAGAGGGGUCAAAGGAGCAAUCCGCUGAAAGAUGGGCUCGCGUCCGAUUAGAUAGUUGGGGGGGUAACGGCCCACCAAGUCGACGAUCGGUAGCCGGACUGAGAGGUUGAACGGCCACAUUGGGACUGAGACACGGCCCAGACUCCUACGGAAGGCAGCAG
rnacentral:rRNA from 1 species